UACGGAAGGCAGCGGUGGGGAAUAUUGCACAAUGGGCGCAAGCCUGAUGCAGCCAUGCCGCGUGUAUGAAAAAGGCCUUCGGGUUGUAAAGUACUUUCAGUCGUGAGGAAGGUGUUAAGGUUAAUAACCUUAGCAAUUGACGUUAGCGACAGAAGAAGCACCGGCUAACUCCGUGCCAGCAGCCGCGGUAAUACGGAGGGUGCGAGCGUUAAUCGGAAUUACUGGGCGUAAAGGGCACGCAGGCGGUUAAUUAAGUUGGAUGUGAAAUCCCCCGGGCUUAACCUGGGAAUGGCAUUCAAGACUGGUUAGCUAGAGUCUUGUAGAGGGGGUAGAAUUCCAUGUGUAGCGGUGAAAUGCGUAGAGAUGUGGAGGAAUACCGGUGGCGAAGGCGGCCCCUGGACAAGACUGACGCUCAUGUGCGAAAGCGUGGGGAGCAAACAGGGAUUUUAGAUACC
rnacentral:rRNA from 1 species